CACGUAGGGUGCGAGCGUUGUCCGGAAUUAUUGGGCGUAAAGAGCUCGUAGGCGGUGUGUCGCGUCGGCCGUGAAAACUUGCAGCUUAACUGUGGGCGUGCGGUCGAUACGGGCAUCACUGGAGUUCGGCAGGGGAGACUGGAAUUCCUGGUGUAGCGGUGAAAUGCGCAGAUAUCAGGAGGAACACCGGUGGCGAAGGCGGGUCUCUGGGCCGAUACUGACGCUGAGGAGCGAAAGCCAGGGGAGCAAACGGG
rnacentral:rRNA from 1 species